AGCUGGCCAAGGUGGGGUUCACUUAAUGAGGAAAAGAUAAUUGUUUCUAUGGUCUGUUUUAAGCAAAGCAGGUCGAGAAAUUGAAGAAGAAGAAAGAGAAGUCUUCAACCAAAGGCUCGAGGAAUGCACCCGAGGAAAAACCAGGUCAGAAGGGUCCAUAGACCAAAAGGGUAAGAACAAGAGAGAGGUGAGGGCCAGGAGAGCUGGUCAGAGGCGGGAAUGGUUGGCUGAACGCUUUGAAUGGGAAACUCAAGUUGGAGUGUGAGAGCCUCAGCGUUCAGUUGAGGGUCUGAGUAACUGCUUUAAAUUGACUAAAAUAGAGAAAGUUUCUUCAUGAAUUGAGAUGCCAUGGCUUAAGGUUUAAAUGGUUACAAAGUUUUGAAAAAAAAAAAAGCUUCUCAUAGAAGUUUAAGAACUUAACUUCUGGAUUUCUUCACAAUUUUUUUUUUCUGUCGCCUUUGCUUAUAUUGUAUGUCUAAUGGUUUCUUAGGCGGAGACUUCGCUAAUAACUUCAAAUGCUGGUGAUUUAAGCGUUAGCCAAUAAUGUCUGAAAGGUGUGUUAACGAUGAAUUCCUCCCAAAGUUGAAGAGGCGAGACUGGAGCUGGCGAUCCAGCAGGAGGCAAAAGGAGGUCCAGAAAUUCUUAACUUUAAGCAGCAGCAGCAGGGAAGCUGGCUGAUACCAAAGGAGGACAGAAGUCUGGGAGAGGAGGCUGAAGGCAUCAUCAGGAGCCACCAGAUGUGAAAGACUUAAGACUUUGGGAAAUGGGGUCCUGUUUGAUUGUUAGUUACUCUCUUGGCCAAAGGCAGACGGCCUGCCUUUCUGGCUCAAAUGUCAAUGCGCCGGAGGCAUUGAGGAAUACCCCAAAUGCCAGUUCCCCAAACCUGUAUCCCUGAGCUUUCCCACCAUUAGGGAUACCCAUUUGUCCAUUUGGUUGGUCAGCGAUGUUCGGUUUUGACCAAAAGGGGGGGGUGUCAACAUGGAAAUUAGGAAUCCCAAACUUAUGGCCUAGUGGGAUCUGAUGGACCCCAUUUUUAGAUUUAGCUCAUAGAUUGGAGACCCCAAAAGCUUGUCCUUGUUCCCUGUUCCCAUGGAAUCGACCCUGAAGGGAAAUGAUGACCCUGGUUGGGUGAGAUAAGCAUAUGCUAAGGACAUUUUUAUUUUAGGUAGCGUCCCCUAUUGUGUUAGAACACUCUCUCAGGAAGGUCAGACCUGGGCAUGAACCAUCCUAUAGUAACUUUGUAAGCAACCCCUUCUCUUGCACCUGUAAACCUUAAAAUUUCUUAGACUUAUAAAUGUUGGAAAUUUCACCAUUGGGAAAUUUCAUACUUGAAAAAUUUCCUACUGAUAGUCUAUUGGAAUGUGAACCCUCCUUGGCAUGGGAGGGUCUUUCUCCUCCCUACUUAAGAUUACUUUAGGACAGAAACCUUUUGCUGAACAAUGGAAAGGGCUUUGACCUAUGCUUAAGCAUAGAACAGGAAGUUCUUUGAGUCAUGAUUGAUUUUAGAAUUGAUACAAUAGAGAUACUUGGAAUGACAGAACCAGGUCUUGAAACUUCCAAUCUCCACCCUGCUCAGGGUAACAGGAUUUAGGAAGGGCUGCAGCAAAGGAUCAAGAUUUAUUUAUUUGAGAAUAUGACCUUCAACAGACAUGUGCAAAGCCACAGACCUCUGGGUGGUCCUGGGUUAAGCUAGAGCCACCAUUGGCACAGGGAAGCCAUGGACAGUGAUUGGUAGAUGUGAGAACUGAGGGGAGGGAACUUGGAUGGUUUCCUUAAAGAUAGAGGGGUCUGAGGACUGAGGGGUGGUUGGAGAGGUUUUGCUCUGAGAGGUUGUGCUCUGAGAAGCUUGCUCUGAAGGAAGCUGGAGGCCCCUGAGACUGUUUCUCCAUUUUGGUCACGUGAGUGAUAGGGACUGAUCUCUUUUUCUUGCCUCAGCUAUCGAAGGGCUUGGGCCUUUUGGCCCAGCCUAAAGAGAGGGGGUAUUUAAGCCCUAUUCCCUUCUCUCCCUUUUCUCUCUCUCUCUCUAAUACCUUUCUUCCCCCUGUUUGUAAUUAAACCACAUAAAAUGUUGACUGCUGACUUGAGUUUUCAUGAAGGAAUUACAUAUUUGAAUUCCUUGUCGACCUUAAAUUAAUAUAUAUCAGUCUUUUAAGUGAUUUCCUUGUCACACACCCUAGCUUCUAGCUAUGAUUGUAUCUUGUCAGUGUAGUUUGAACACUCCCAUUUUCCUUGUAGCCAUAGUAAUGUAAAUCAUCUUUCCUUGCCCCUGGAUUUCCCAAAGGGCCUAGAGGUUCCCCAAGUUCUUUUGUUCCCCGGAGUCCAUCCUGAGUCGGUGGCACUCCCAGGGGCUAAUGACCAGGACGUCUUGACUCUGUGCAGUCAUGGGAAGCGGCUCUCUUGUCGUAUGAGGAGCGCAAACCCCUUUUCCCUUGAUUAAAAAGUGAUUUUGACUAUUUGAUAGUUCUGAGUUUUUUCUAGUUUACACCAUCAAGUCUCUCACAGACUUCCUCUAAAUGCCUCACAUAGAUUUCUUCUGUCAAUUUCAAUCUCCAGGUUUUCUAUCUUUUUCUUAAAGGUAUAGCAACUAUCCAAAGUAUUUUGUUCUAAUUUUUGGAUAGAAUUCAGAUAGAAUUAUUUUGUUAUUAUAUCCAAUUCUUUGCAGAACAAAUAAAAGCACUGCCUAUUGCA
rnacentral:lncRNA from 1 species